rnacentral:rRNA from 1 species
CCCGCAGCACAAGUGGUGGUCAUUAUUAUUGGGCCUAAAGCGUCCGUAGCUGGCUUGUUAGAUGCCUGGGUAAAUCGAUGCGCUCAACGUAUCGAACUCCGGGUAGACCGGCAAGCUUGGGACCGGGAGAGGCGUGAGCUACUCGAGGGGUAGGGGUAAAAUCCUGUAAUCCUUCGGGGAGGACCAGUGGCGAAGGCGUCACGCUAGAACGGCUCCGACAGUGAGGGACGAAGCCCUGGGGCGCAAACCGGAUUAGAUACCCGGGUAGUCCAGGGUGUAAACACUGCAGACUUGGUGUCGGUGAUCCUACGAGGGUUGCCGGUGCCGUAGAGAAGUUGUUUAGUCUGCCGCCUGGGGAGUACGGUCGCAAGACUG